rnacentral:rRNA from 1 species
AUAGUGAAACCGCGAAUGGCUCAUUAAAUCAGCUACGAUUCCUUAGAUCGUUUAUACAUGGAUAACUGUGGUAAUUCUAGAGCUAAUACAUGCACUAAAGCUCUGACCUUAAGGAAAGAGCGCUUUUAUUAGACUAAAACCAAACAAGCUUUGCUUGUAUAUUUGGUGACUCUGAAUAACUUUGCUGAUCGUAUGGCCUUGUGCCGACGACGUAUCUUUCAAAUGUCUGCCCUAUCAACUUGUGACGGUAGGUGCUAUGCCUACCAUGGUUAUAACGGGUAACGGAGAAUCAGGGUUUGAUUCCGGAGAGGGAGCAUGAGAAACGGCUACCACAUCCAAGGAAGGCAGCAGGCGCGCAAAUUACCCACUCCCGGCACGGGGAGGUAGUGACGAAAAAUAACAAUACGAGCCUUUUUCGAGGCCUCGUAAUUGGAAUGAGUACAAUUUAAAUCCUUUAACGAGGAUCAAUUGGAGGGCAAGUCUGGUGCCAGCAGCCGGGGUAAUYCMGGCUCCAAUAGCGUAUACUAAAGUUGUUGC